CGCAUCUGUGCAUGCAGCAUAUCAAUAAGCGGAGGAAAAGAAACUAACAAGGAUUCCCUUAGUAACGGCGAGUGAAGCGGGAAGAGCUCAAAUUUGAAAUCUUCAAGGUUUUACCUUGACGAAUUGUAGUUUAAAGAAGUGUUUUCUGUUGAAGUUUUGGUAAAAGUUCUUUGGAAUAGGACAUCAUAGAGGGUGAGAAUCCCGUAUUUGACCAUUAUUUUCAGCUGUGUGAUACACUUUCAAUGAGUCGGAUUGUUUGGGAAUGCAGUCCAAAAUGGGUGGUAAAUUUCAUCUAAAGCUAAAUAUUGGCGAGAGACCGAUAGCGAACAAGUACCGUGAGGGAAAGAUGAAAAGAACUUUGAAAAGAGAGUUAAACAGUACGUGAAAUUGUCAAAAGGGAAGCGUUUGACACCAGUGUUGUUUUCUCGAAAAUCAAUUAAAAAGAGUUAGAUUUUGUUGUGUAUUGACCUUAACAGCUUGCAUUUCAAUUUUCUUGCUUUUUUUAUGCACUUUUCGUUUAACAAGUCAACAUCAGUUUCUUUUGUUGUAAAAAGGUCAUUGGAAGGUGGCUUUCUUUUCGGAGAAAGUGUUUAUAGCCUUUGACUCCUGCAAUCGGAGAGACUGAGGUCUGCAGCGUAGAUCCUUCGGGGUUAGAUACAUUUGUGCUAAGUUAUAGCUUUUUAUAGACAACUUGUUGACUAUGAUUAGUCUUGUAGCUUACUCGCUUAUGCUAUUUUACCUACGCUUAGGAUGUUGACACACGCGCGUGCUCG
rnacentral:rRNA from 1 species